rnacentral:rRNA from 1 species
CAUUUCCUACGGGACGCAGCAGUCGAGAAUCAUUCACAAUGGGGGAAACCCUGAUGGUGCGACGCCGCGUGGGGGAAUGAAGGUCUUCGGAUUGUAAACCCCUGUCAUGUGGGAGCAAAUUAAAAAGAUAGUACCACAAGAGGAAGAGACGGCUAACUCUGUGCCAGCAGCCGCGGUAAUACAGAGGUCUCAAGCGUUGUUCGGACUCAAUGGGCGUAAAGCGUGCGUAGGCUGUUUCGUAAGUCGUGUGUGAAAGGCGCGGGCUCAACCCGCGGCCGGCACAUGAUACUGCGAGAC